rnacentral:SRP_RNA from 1 species
GCCAGGCAUGGUGGCGCGUGCCUGUAGUCCCAGCUACUUGGGAGGCGGAGGCAGAAGAAUUGCUUGAACCUGGGAGACGGAGGUUGCAGUGAGCUGAGAUUGCGCCACUGCAUUCCAGCCUAGGUAACAGAGCGAGACUCUGUCUCAA